rnacentral:rRNA from 1 species
UACGUAGGGGCUAGCGUUGUCCGGAUUUAUUGGGCGUAAAGAGCGUGUAGGCGGCCAGAUAGGUCUGCUGUGAAAACUCGAGGCUCAACCUCGAGAUGUCGGCGGAAACCAUUUGGCUAGAGUCCGGAAGAGGAAAGUGGAAUUCCUGGUGUAGCGGUGAAAUGCGCAGAUAUCAGGAAGAACACCCGUGGCGAAGGCGGCUGACUGGUCCGGUUCUGACGCUGAGGCGCGAAAGCGUGGGGAGCAAACAGG